GACUCGGUGGCGGAUGGUUCGCAGCUGCUUAUGGAACAGAGAAAUGGUGCCGCAAUUAAUCCAGGGGUCGCCUGUUCGAUUCAGGCCUGAGUCA